GGUGGGAGCUGGCUUGUCUGCGAUAGCGGUGUGUCAGUCAGCGCAUCAGCUACUGAUAUACCGCUAUCGCAGGCAAGCCAGCUCCCACA
rnacentral:ncRNA from 2 species